GACGGAGGAUGCAAGUGUUAUCCGGAAUCACUGGGCGUAAAGCGCACGUAGGCGGACUCUUAAGUCGGUGGUGAAAUCCUGGAGCUCAACUCCAGAACUGCCUUCGAUACUGAGAGUCUUGAGUCCGGGAGAGGUGAGUGGAACUGCGAGUGUAGAGGUGAAAUUCGUAGAUAUUCGCAAGAACACCAGUGGCGAAGGCGGCUCACUGGCUCGUAUCUGACGCUCAGGCGCGAUAGCGUGGGGAUCAAACAGG
rnacentral:rRNA from 1 species